rnacentral:rRNA from 1 species
UACGGAGGGGGCGAGCGUUGCCCGAAUUUACUGGGCGUAAAGCGCACGUAGGCGGCUUCGUAAGUCUGUUGUGAAAUCUCCUGGCUCAACCGAAAGACUGCACCUGAUACUGCGAAGCUAGAGGACGGGAGAGGAGUAAGGAAUUCCCGGAGUAGCGGUGAAAUGCAUUGAUAUCGGGAGGAACACCAGUGGCGAAGGCGGAGUUCUGGCCCGUUGCUGACUCUGAGGUGCGAAAGCUGGGGGAGCGAAAGGG